rnacentral:misc_RNA from 1 species
GAACGUUCUGCCUAUCAUCCUUCUUCUAUUGUAUUGUUACACUGAGAGAAUGAGGAUCUGAAUCAGAAUACACUAUAUCUGUACUUAUACCUAUACUUAUCAUAAUUUUGUCGUUUAUAUUGUACAAAUGUUGCGAUCAUCUUGGACGAUGUAACCGUUGUUGACGCGCGGUAUCUGUCAUCGGAAUGCAGAAGUCAAGAAGUUUUCUUAAAGUUCGAUAGUUCACGUUGGGAUCGAACCUACCUUUGGAAGAGAAACGUGAAAAAUUGGAAAGUUCUGGCGCGUCGAAGAAAGACGCGUCUUUCUCUCGAUAAAUUGAAUUAUAUUGUUUAAAGAUGUAUUAUAAAUAAAUAAUCGAAUAAGACUUUGGGAUUCGAUCCCUGGAGAAAUUUGUGACAAAGUGAACGAAGCUUCGCCCGAAAUUGAUUAAUCAAUUUUCAACUAUCGCCAGCUAUCGAUGCACGUUGAUUUAAAAAGUUAUUAAACGUUGCAAUUUGCAAAGUUAAUGAACGAUAAGAAUUGAAACGAAAGAAAAUUACAUCCCAGAAAGGAACUAGUAGCUAGCUAAAAAAAAAUUUAUAAAAGUCACUUGCUCUUAUUGCAAUAACAAUUGUUCCUCCCUUA